GGCCCGGAGCCGGGCGGCGGUUACGCCGCCAACCCCGCCAGGUCCGAGAGGAAGCAACGGUAACGGUAGUGCCGGGUGUCCGGCUCCGCGGCGACUU
rnacentral:SRP_RNA from 1 species